AGCACUUCAUGUGCUGGCUAUGGUAAGUCCGACGUGCUCCCACGCACUGCCCCUGCAGGGGCUCGGGAUUAC
rnacentral:ncRNA from 1 species